AGCCCAGGCUGCAGGGUCUGUUUGCACAGUUGGGGCUGAGCUAGACACCCACCUCCGGGGAAGCCGCUCAGCUCGGUCGACUGUUGACUCUAGGAUUAGCAGCUCCACAGGAGUUCUUUUCCUCUGAAAUGAAAAGAAAGCGGACAGACUGACAGGACAUGAUGUUCUUAUCUACCCAACAACUGAUACAUGCUCUUGGGGCUGAGAAGAUGGCUUCUCAGAGAGCUUGCUGCUAUUGCAUGAGGACCUAGCUCAGAUCCCUAGAAGCCAUAUAAAAGCCAGCAUGUGUCUGUAUCUCCAAUCCCAAGAGGAGAGAUCAAGAGAGAUUUCUGGCCAGAGGAAGACACCGCUGGCAUCUAUAUGUGCACUCACAGGAACAGGCAUGAAUGAGUCCAGUCUUUGAAGAACUGGGAAGAUGGCUUUAGGAUGUGUCCAUUAAGUAUCUGAAACACAGAAACACCCGAGAGCUGCCCCUUCCCUUCCCAGAGAUCCAUGAAGAGCUGAACCUAGAAUACUGAUGCCACUGUUUGUCCCCUAAGAUCGAUUAGCAUCUGGAUGGACAGGAACCAAGACAACCACCUUAGUUCAGGUUUCAGUUGCUGUAACAAAACAGCAGAGGCCAAGGACUUUACACACAAGGGUGACUAAAAGUCCAAGACUAAACAACCCCAUGUGUUUGGACUCUGGUAAGGAUCUCCCAUCUACUUCUCAACAUGGCGAAUGACAUCAUGAUGGAUGUGCAGAUGAGGAAAGAGAGGUCACAUGAUGAAACUGGAAACAAGAGAGUAUGUGGAAGGUCACAUCCAGUCUUUUACAGCAACCUCGUAUCUCAAAAGGCUACCCUGGAACUCAGAGAUCUGCUUGCCUGGGAUUAAACACAUGAACCACCCUGCCUGGGACGAAGCUUUGCAUGGCCACUAUUCCUCAAGAUCCUCAUCAAAAGCCUGUGUCUUCCAGCCUCGAGAUCUGGAUCCAUAGUUGUGCCCUCCAUUUCUGGAUUUUAGUUCAUUCCAGAUUAAAAGUCCAAAUGAAAACAAUAACCAGGUAAUAGUAACACCUAUGUAUAACCCUACCCAAGGACAUUUGACUGGGGUGGAGAUGAGAGCAGAGCGAGUGGGAUCUCUGUAAGAGAAACUGUGUCCCUGCAAUCCACACUAAAGUCAGAGCAGUGGAACUCAUGCUUCCCCAGCCCUCAUCCCACAACCAGUCCUGAUCCCAUCUGGCCACAGAACUCUUCAAAUGUCCCCAAGAAAGCCCAGAGAAGCCACAGUCUGAACUUUGUGUGUUCACUCUGCUAUCUUAUCUGUGUCACUUAGCACCUUCUAGAAAAUAAGGGUCUGUUGGGGCUUGGGGUUUGUGUACAACGAUGAGUUGUCAUGAAUGUUGUUUAUAGGAACAUGGGCAGCUUGCCAGUGAAGAAAACGUCCCUUCUUCUCACAACAACCAUUAACUUCUGAGAGAUCUUCAGGGAUGGGGGGCUUUGCGGGGUGGAAAGCUGAUGGACCCAGCCUUCUGCAGGUCUUCUGCAGAUAAUCAUAGAUGCUGGGGAUCCAAGAUUACGACAGUGAUAUCAUGUCCUGAUGUUGAACUCCAUGGCACUCUACCGCUCCCUUAGGCCCUUACAUUCCUCCCAUUUCUUCACUAGUAUACCCCGAGCCUGGAAGAGGUCACUAUAAAUGUCCCCUUUAGGGUUGAGCAUUCAUCAGUUAUAAGCCUGCAGCAACCACGGCCUGCUUUAUAAAGCAUCUUCUCAGACCAAGGGGACACUCCCACAGAAACGAUGGUUCCAGCCAGAGGUGCUGAGAACCCACCCGGAACCUGCUUCUCAACAGCCGGCUUCAACAUAAGCCACACUCCCCAUUAAGCCCUGCUUUGAGAGAGGAAGCAUCAUAACUGAACACAACUCACAUGGCCUGUCAUAGUAUGUCUGCCAUGGACCAUGACACGGAAUUCAACUAGUGUGGACACUGAGGGACUCCUUGAGGAAGCAUCAUCUCUACAGUGACCUAGAGGAUGAACAGGUGUGACAUAAAGUGACAUGAAUUAGAUCUAAAGCCAAAUGACACUGAUGUUUGUGUGUGAAAAUCCCAUAAUGAACCCCAUUACUAUGUAUGGUAGCC
rnacentral:lncRNA from 1 species